GCCGGGAUAGCUCAGUUGGUAGAGCAGGGGACUGAAAAUCCUCGG
rnacentral:tRNA from 1 species